rnacentral:rRNA from 1 species
AGUGAACGCUGGCGGUAGGCCUAACACAUGCAAGUCGAACGGCAGCACAGUAAGAGCUUGCUCUUACGGGUGGCGAGUGGCGGACGGGUGAGGAAUACAUCGGAAUCUACUUUUUCGUGGGGGAUAACGUAGGGAAACUUACGCUAAUACCGCAUACGACCUACGGGUGAAAGCAGGGGAUCUUCGGACCUUGCGCGAUUGAAUGAGCCGAUGUCGGCUUAGCUAGUUGGCGGGGGAAAGGCCCACCAAGGCGACGGUCCGUAGCUGGUCUGAGAGGAUGAUCAGCCACACUGGAACUGAGACACGGUCCAGACUCCUACGGGAGGCAGCAGUGGGGAAUAUUGGACAAUGGGCGCAAGCCUGAUCCAGCCAUACCGCGUGGGUGAAGAAGGCCUUCGGGUUGUAAAGCCCUUUUGUUGGGAAAGAAAAGCAGCAGGUUAAUACCCCGCUGUUCUGACGGUACCCAAAGAAUAAGCACCGGCUAACUUCGUG